AUACGGAGGAUCCGAGCGUUAUCCGGAUUUAUUGGGUUUAAAGGGAGCGUAGGCGGAUGUUUAAGUCAGUUGUGAAAUGUUAAGGCUCAACCUUGAAGUUGCAGUUGAUACUGGACGUCUUGAGGGCAUUAAAUGUGGGCGGAAUGCGUGGUGUAGCGGUGAAAUGCAUAGAUAUCACGAAGAACUCCAAUUGCGAAGGCAGCUCACAAGACUGAUACUGACGCUGAUGCACGAAAGUGUGGGUAUCAAACAGGAUUAGAUACCCUGGUAGUCCACACUGUAAACGAUGAAAACUCGCUGUUUGCGAUAUACAGUAAGUGGCCAAGCGAAAGCGUUAAGUAAUCCACCUGGGGAGUACGCCCGCAACGGUGA
rnacentral:rRNA from 1 species